rnacentral:rRNA from 1 species
CGCUAUCACUCCUACGGGAGGCAGCAGUGGGGAAUCUUGCGCAAUGGGCGAAAGCCUGACGCAGCCAUGCCGCGUGAAUGAUGAAGGUCUUAGGAUUGUAAAUUCUUUCACCGGGGACGAUAAUGACGGUACCCCGGAGAAGAAGCCCCGGCUAACUUCGUGCCAGCAGCCGCGGUAAUACGAAGGGGGCUAGCGUUGCUCGGAAUUACUGGGCGUAAAGGGAGCGUAGGCGGACUGUUUAGUCAGAGGUGAAAGCCCAGGGCUCAACCUUGGAAUUGCCUUUGAUACUGGCAGUCUUGAGUACGGAAGAGGUAUGUGGAACUCCGAGUGUAGAGGUGAAAUUCGUAGAUAUUCGGAAGAACACCAGUGGCGAAGGCGACAUACUGGUCCGUUACUGACGCUGAGGCUCGAAAGCGUGGGGAGCAAACAGGAUUAGAUACCCUGGUAG